rnacentral:rRNA from 1 species
AGUGAACGCUGGCGGUAGGCCUAACACAUGCAAGUCGAACGGCAGCACAGUAAGAGCUUGCUCUUACGGGUGGCGAGUGGCGGACGGGUGAGGAAUACAUCGGAAUCUACUUUUUCGUGGGGGAUAGCGUAGGGAAACUUACGCUAAUACCGCAUACGACCUACGGGUGAAAGCAGGGGAUCUUCGGACCUUGCGCGAUUGAAUGAGCCGAUGUCGGAUUAGCUAGUUGGCGGGGUAAAGGCCCACCAAGGCGACGAUCCGUAGCUGGUCUGAGAGGAUGAUCAGCCACACUGGAACUGAGACACGGUCCAGACUCCUACGGGAGGCAGCAGUGGGGAAUAUUGGACAAUGGGUGCAAGCCUGAUCCAGCCAUACCGCGUGGGUGAAGAAGGCCUUCGGGUUGUAAAGCCCUUUUGUUGGGAAAGAAAAGCAGCAGGUUAAUACCCCGCUGUUCUGACGGUACCCAAAGAAUAAGCACCGGCUAACUUCGUG